CCAUCUCAAUACAAACAAACAAACAAAAAAACUAAUGGAGGAGUGGCCCCAGCUUCUCCUGUGGUGGAUGGGGCUGUGAAACGUUAACUUGGAAGGACUGCUGAAAGAUGGAUGUUACUCUGUUAAUGGAGAGGGCAGAACUAGAGCCAGGAAUCAGUAAAAGUUUCUGAGACAUGGAUUUCUGCUCAGUAUAAGGAAGACCCUUUAAGAGUUACAGUCGUGCAGAGGUAGAAAUGGCCAGGGGCCACCUUCUCAUGGUGUUAACCAGUCGUUAUCGUUGUCCACUUCCAGCAGCACAGGCCUGUCAUACAAUGAGCUCCUCCGUGGAACCCCAGUAUACACAGGUCAGAGGCAUGCAGAUCUGUGUCAGUGGAAGAAACUGUGGAGAGCCAGUUCCAGCCACAUGGACCUUUACUUUUGCAAAUUGCUUGACGUAUUCCUCCCUGAAACUUUUGUAACGCUAUAAUUGUGUCACAAAUAUAAGCUCCAAGGACUCUGCUACAAUAAAAACAUUUAAUGUGAACAAGAAGAGUCUCGGUAUUCAAUGACAUGAAGACGUCUUUCCCAAUCACAUUCUGCCUGUACAUGAAACUUGUCAGAGUAAACAAGUUGAGUUGACGGACAACCGGGUGCCCCUACGGAAACGUACUGGCAAUCAGGCCUGUGAGCAGGAAAAUGUCCUGAAAUAACCGGAGCAACUGGGCACAGCGCACAACUUCCCAGCAUUGCAGUUUAUUGUUUUAGAGCCCGAGCCCCAGGCGGGAUGCUCAGGACCUGCAUUCCUUGGCGAUUGGGGGAGAUGGUAGAAUGUUACAGAUGAGGGUGCUUUACAUGAGCUCACUCAUUUGUGAGAGUCAACUCACUGUGGAUUCAGGAGGUCUGAAUGAUUCCAGCCCUCUGGCUUUUCUUGGAGGAAGCCAACCCAGGCAAACCAAUUGCCACCCACGGAGGAUGGCUCUUCACCAAAACCCAGGAGGGCCCAGGCCCGAAGACUAGAUUGCUCCAGCUUCCUAUGGCAGAAAGAGGAUGAUAAAAAUAGUUGAUGUAGCAACCUGUCGUGCUGCCCAAGGUGCGUAACCUCAUGCUUGUUUGGAAAGACUUGAACAGGUAGCUGAGGGUGCAAACAGGGCAGCUGCAUUUGGAGAGAAGAGGAUGAAAGAGGAAUGAAGGGAGGCGGUGGGACCGGAAAAUCAAAGGUGUGGAAAAGAUGUGUUAUGGUGGGUUAGGUUAAUGGACAUCUCCACUUCAACAAGACCUUCCACAAAAAAGCUGACACCUCGUGAGAAAUCAAGGUCCCACUGCAUCUGCAAGAAGGGAAGUUGCGUUUGGUGAGAGCCUGUGAUACAAGUGAUAAAGAUGGAAGCUUACCUUUGAAGAACCACGAAAUGCCUCCAAUGGACAGGUCAUUAAACAGCAGUUCAUCUACUCGAGUAUUUCCAGGGCUUUGUCUCUAGCUCAGGCUGUCCUCACAUCCGUCUGUCAGACACCUCUACUUGACGGAGGCCACCCUUCCUCCCACUCCCUGGCCCUGUGUCCCACACCUGUCCCUUCUUAAUGAGGGACCCCAUCUGCCUGGGUGCCUGGGCCAGGAGGCUCCCUCCCCUUGGGUUGUCUCCACCCUCACUCAUGCCCAUCGCUCUGGACUUGGCCUCCUCAGAACCCCCGGGUUCCAUCCCUGGCAGCCUGAGGGGCACUCACCUCCACCGCUGCCGCCUUCUGGGUCCUUCUCUUCACAACAGGUGAUGCCAUCUUCCUCAAAUGCAGAUCCGACUGUGUCACCUCCAAUGGAGACCUUCAGUGACUUUCCAUUGUCGAUCGGGUAGAACCCACACUGUCCCAGGACCAAACAGGGCCCUGCUUCCACCCUCACCUUGUUCCCGCCCAGGCUUUGUUUGUCCUGCAUUGCACACAGUGCCCGGUACCCCGCAGGUUCACUCCCAGCUUUAGGGCAUUGCAUGUGCUGCUUCCUGCCCAUCACAGCCUGGCGACCCUCGCAUCCCUUCGGAGCCUGCCACGCCUCUCCUUCAGAAACAGCCCUAACCCGGAUACUGCACCCUGCUGCGCUGCUGACCUGCAGGUACCUUCCUGCAUCCCAUUCCACAUGGAGACCCCCUGGGCAGAGGCUUGGCCCCGUAGUAUCCCUAGUGCCAAGCACCAUGCCCACAUGUGCCACUCACUGAAUUAAAACUAGCAACUUAAUAAAGUUUGAACACUCAAACAUAUCACACACACUGGUCGCAGACAUGCUGUGAAGGCAUGUCACCUCAGAAAGGUUGCAUUUUGACUCUUCCACCAAGAGUAAAUGGCUGCAAGAGAUUGGAAGUGGCUGAGCAGAAGGUGGUCUGCAGGAACUUCCCAGCGCCCACCCCUGCCCCAUGGGAACACAGGUGGGUCUUUGGUGGUGGAAAACAUACUCUGUAAAUAGCCAAGUGAGUGCUAUUAUGAAGUCAGGGGAGACACUGUAUGGAGAAAAGCUACAGAAGUGGAAAUACAUUAGCCAACCCGACUUCAAGGGAAAUGACUGUCCCAUGAAACUGGGCUGGAAAUGCUCCAAGGUAGGCUGAGCUGGGACCUGAUGCUGCGUAAAGAGCCCAGAGGGAAGGGUGAGGUGUGGAGAACUCAGACCGAAUGUGAAGGGUGUGAGCACCCCAUAGAAGUUCUGCAUUGGAGGAACACCCAAAGACUUAGGGAGUUGGCAUCCAAGUAGCUUGGAGGUAAGCUGAAGUUAUUUCUUCUUCCUUUGUGCAAAGUCCUUCAAAAAUAUCUUUGAUCUAAGCUCUCAGGCACCACAGGAACACACAAGCAUUUGUUCUCAGCCUGGGCGUGUUCGGUGGUGACA